rnacentral:rRNA from 1 species
UACGAACGCUGGCGGCAGGCCUAACACAUGCAAGUCGAACGCCGUAGCAAUACGGAGUGGCAGACGGGUGAGUAACGCGUGGGAACAUACCCCUCGGUUCGGAAUAACUUAGGGAAACUUGAGCUAAUACCGGAUACGUCCGAGGUUUUAACCGGCCUCGGAGAAAGAUUUAUCGCCGGAGGAUUGGCCCGCGUCUGAUUAGCUUGUUGGUGAGGUAAUGGCUCACCAAGGCGACGAUCAGUAGCUGGUCUGAGAGGAUGAUCAGCCACAUUGGGACUGAGACACGGCCCAAACUCCUACGGGAGGCAGCAGUGGGGAAUAUUGGACAAUGGGCGAAAGCCUGAUCCAGCCAUGCCGCGUGAGUGAUGAAGGCCUUAGGGUUGUAAAGCUCUUUUACCCGGGAAGAUAAUGACGGUACCGGGAGAAUAAGCCCCGCUAACUUCGUGCCAGCAGCCGCCGCUGUAAU